GGGGAAUAUUGCACAAUGGAGGAAACUCUGAUGCAGCGACGCCGCGUGAGUGAUGAAGGCCUUCGGGUCGUAAAACUCUGUCCUAAGGGACGAUAAUGACGGUACCUUAGGAGGAAGCCCCGGCUAACUACGUGCCAGCAGCCGCGGUAAUACGUAGGGGGCGAGCGUUGUCCGGAAUUAUUGGGCGUAAAGGGUGCGUAGGCGGCCUUUUAAGUCAGGUGUGAAAGGUCACGGCUCAACCGUGGUAAGCACUUGAAACUGGAAGGCUUGAGUUAAGGAGAGGAAAGUGGAAUUCCUAGUGUAGCGGUGAAAUGCGUAGAUAUUAGGAGGAAUACCAGUGGCGAAGGCGACUUUCUGGCCUUUAACUGACGCUGAGGCACGAAAGCGUGGGGAGCAAAC
rnacentral:rRNA from 1 species